GCCGGUGAUAAGCCGAGAGGAAGGUGGGGGAUGACGUCAAGUCCUCAUGGCCCUUACGGGCUCGGGCGUACACACGUGCUACAAUGGUGGUGACAGUGGGCAGCGAGACCGCGAGGUCGAGCUAAUCUACCAAAAGCCAAUCUCAGUUCGGAUUGCACUCUGCAACUCGAGUGCAUGAAGUUGGAAUCGCUAGUAAUCGCGGAUCAGCAUGCCGCGGUGAAUACGUUCCCGGGCCUU
rnacentral:rRNA from 1 species